rnacentral:rRNA from 1 species
GACGUAGGGCGCGAGCGUUGUCCGGAUUUAUUGGGCGUAAAGAGCUCGUAGGCGGUUUGUCGCGUCGGGAGUGAAAACCUUGGGCUUAACUCAGGGCUUGCUUUCGAUACGGGCAGACUAGAGGUAUGCAGGGGAGAACGGAAUUCCCGGUGUAGCGGUGAAAUGCGCAGAGAUCGGGAGGAACACCCGUAGCGAAGGCGGCACUCUGGGCCGGUACUGACGCUGAGGAGCGAAAGCGUGGGGAGCAAACAGG